GAUGAACGCUGGCGGCGCGCUUAAGACAUGCAAGUCGAACGGAACUUAGUUGAAUGUUUACAUGAUACGAAAGUUUAGUGGCGGACGGGUGAGUAACACGUGAGCAACCUGCCUUAGAGAAUGGGACAACAGAGGGAAACUUCUGCUAAUACCGUAUAUGACCACAGUACCGCAUGGUACAGGGGUGAAAGGAGCAAUCCGCUCUAAGAUGGGCUCGCGGCUGAUUAGCUAGUUGGUGAGAUAACGGCCCACCAAGGCGACGAUCAGUAGCCGAACUGAGAGGUUGAUCGGCCACAUUGGGACUGAGACACGGCCCAAACUCCUACGGAGGCAGCAGUGGGAAUAUUGCACAAUGGGGGAAACCCUGAUGCAGCGACGCCGCGUGAGUGAAGAGUAUUCGGUAUGUAAAGCUCUAUCCAGCAGGGAAGAAAUGACGGUACCUGACUAAGAAGCCCCGG
rnacentral:rRNA from 1 species